CCCCGUCACAUCACGAAAGUGGAUUGUACUAGAAGUCUGCGCGCUAACCCGCAAGGGAGGCAGCGGCCCAAGGUAUGAUUCAUGAUUGGGGUG
rnacentral:rRNA from 1 species